UUAAGCGACUAAGCGUACACGGUGGAUGCCCUGGCAGUCAGAGGCGAUGAAGGACGUGCUAAUCUGCGAAAAGCGUCGGUAAGGUGAUAUGAACCGUUAUAGCCGGCGAUGUCCGAAUGGGGAAACCCAGUGCAAUUCGUUGCACUAUCGUUAACUGAAUACAUAGGUUAACGAGGCGAACCGGGGGAACUGAAACAUCUAAGUACCCCGAGGAAAAGAAAUCAACCGAGAUUCCCCCAGUAGCGGCGAGCGAACGGGGAGCAGCCCAGAGUCUGAAUCAGCUUGUGUGUUAGUGGAACGGUCUGGAAAGUCCGACGGUACAGGGUGAUAGUCCCGUACACCAAAAUGCACAGGCUGUGAACUCGAAGAGUAGGGCGGGACACGUGGUAUCCUGUCUGAAUAUGGGGGGACCAUCCUCCAAGGCUAAAUACUCCUGACUGACCGAUAGUGAACCAGUACCGUGAGGGAAAGGCGAAAAGAACCCCGGCGAGGGGAGUGAAAAAGAACCUGAAACCGUGUACGUACAAGCAGUGGGAGCACCUUCGGGUGUGACUGCGUACCUUUUGUAUAAUGGGUCAGCGACUUAUAUUCUGUAGCAAGGUUAACCGUAUAGGGGAGCCGCAGGGAAACCGAGUCUUAACUGGGCGUUAAGUUGCAGGGUAUAGACCCGAAACCCGGUGAUCUAGCCAUGGGCAGGUUGAAGGUUGGGUAACACUAACUGGAGGACCGAACCGACUAAUGUUGAAAAAUUAGCGGAUGACUUGUGGCUGGGGGUGAAAGGCCAAUCAAACCGGGAGAUAGCUGGUUCUCCCCGAAAGCUAUUUAGGUAGCGCCUCGUGAACUCAUCUUCGGGGGUAGAGCACUGUUUCGGCUAGGGGGUCAUCCCGACUUACCAACCCGAUGCAAACUACGAAUACCGAAGAAUGUUAUCACGGGAGACACACGGCGGGUGCUAACGUCCGUCGUGAAGAGGGAAACAACCCAGACCGCCAGCUAAGGUCCCAAAGUCAUGGUUAAGUGGGAAACGAUGUGGGAAGGCACAGACAGCCAGGAUGUUGGCUUAGAAGCAGCCAUCAUUUAAAGAAAGCGUAAUAGCUCACUGGUCGAGUCGGCCUGCGCGGAAGAUGUAACGGGGCUAAACCAUGCACCGAAGCUGCGGCAGCGACACUAUGUGUUGUUGGGUAGGGGAGCGUUCUGUAAGCCUGCGAAGGUGUGCUGUGAGGCAUGCUGGAGGUAUCAGAAGUGCGAAUGCUGACAUAAGUAACGAUAAAGCGGGUGAAAAGCCCGCUCGCCGGAAGACCAAGGGUUCCUGUCCAACGUUAAUCGGGGCAGGGUGAGUCGACCCCUAAGGCGAGGCCGAAAGGCGUAGUCGAUGGGAAACAGGUUAAUAUUCCUGUACUUGGUGUUACUGCGAAGGGGGGACGGAGAAGGCUAUGUUAGCCGGGCGACGGUUGUCCCGGUUUAAGCAUGUAGGCUGAUUGUCCAGGCAAAUCCGGAUAAUCAAGGCUGAGGUGUGAUGACGAGGCACUACGGUGCUGAAGUAACAAAUGCCCUGCUUCCAGGAAAAGCCUCUAAGCAUCAGGUAACAUUAAAUCGUACCCCAAACCGACACAGGUGGUCAGGUAGAGAAUACCAAGGCGCUUGAGAGAACUCGGGUGAAGGAACUAGGCAAAAUGGUGCCGUAACUUCGGGAGAAGGCACGCUGGUGUGUAGGUGAAGCCCCUGCGGGUGGAGCUGAGACCAGUCGAAGAUACCAGCUGGCUGCAACUGUUUAUUAAAAACACAGCACUGUGCAAACACGAAAGUGGACGUAUACGGUGUGACGCCUGCCCGGUGCCGGAAGGUUAAUUGAUGGGGUUAUCCGUAAGGAGAAGCUCUUGAUCGAAGCCCCGGUAAACGGCGGCCGUAACUAUAACGGUCCUAAGGUAGCGAAAUUCCUUGUCGGGUAAGUUCCGACCUGCACGAAUGGCGUAAUGAUGGCCAGGCUGUCUCCACCCGAGACUCAGUGAAAUUGAACUCGCUGUGAAGAUGCAGUGUACCCGCGGCAAGACGGAAAGACCCCGUGAACCUUUACUAUAGCUUGACACUGAACAUUGAGCCUUGAUGUGUAGGAUAGGUGGGAGGCUUUGAAGCGUGGACGCCAGUCUGCGUGGAGCCAACCUUGAAAUACCACCCUUUAAUGUUUGAUGUUCUAACGUUGGCCCCUGACCGGGGUUGCGGACAGUGUCUGGUGGGUAGUUUGACUGGGGCGGUCUCCUCCCAAAGCGUAACGGAGGAGCACGAAGGUUAGCUAAUCCUGGUCGGACAUCAGGAGGUUAGUGCAAUGGCAUAAGCUAGCUUGACUGCGAGCGUGACGGCGCGAGCAGGUGCGAAAGCAGGUCAUAGUGAUCCGGUGGUUCUGAAUGGAAGGGCCAUCGCUCAACGGAUAAAAGGUACUCCGGGGAUAACAGGCUGAUACCGCCCAAGAGUUCAUAUCGACGGCGGUGUUUGGCACCUCGAUGUCGGCUCAUCACAUCCUGGGGCUGAAGUAGGUCCCAAGGGUAUGGCUGUUCGCCAUUUAAAGUGGUACGCGAGCUGGGUUUAGAACGUCGUGAGACAGUUCGGUCCCUAUCUGCCGUGGGCGCUGGAGAAUUGAGGGGGGCUGCUCCUAGUACGAGAGGACCGGAGUGGACGCAUCACUGGUGUUCGGGUUGUCAUGCCAAUGGCACUGCCCGGUAGCUAAAUGCGGAAGAGAUAAGUGCUGAAAGCAUCUAAGCACGAAACUUGCCCCGAGAUGAGUUCUCCCUGAGACUUUAAGUCUCCUGAAGGAACGUUGAAGACGACGACGUUGAUAGGCCGGGUGUGUAAGCGCAGCGAUGCGUUGAGCUAACCGGUACUAAUGAACCGUGAGGCUUAACCUU
rnacentral:rRNA from 1 species